GACGAACGCUGGCGGCGUGCUUAACACAUGCAAGUCGAACGAUGAAGAAGAGAAACGCGAACUUCGGUUCAAAUUUCACUUCGGAUUAGUGGCAGACGGGUGAGUAACGCGUGAGCAACCUACCUCUUACAAAGGGAUAGCCUCGGGAAACCGUGAUUAAUACCAUAUGACACAUUCAUAAGGCAUCUUAAGAAUGUUAAAGCUACGGCGGUAAGAGAUGGGCUCGCGUCCCAUUAGCUAGUUGGUGAGGUAACGGCCCACCAAGGCGACGAUGGGUAACCGGCCUGAGAGGGUGAACGGUCACAUUGGCACUGAGACACGGUCCAAACUCCUACGGGAGGCAGCAGUGGGGAAUAUUGCACAAUGGAGGGAACUCUGAUGCAGCGACGCCGCGUGAGCGAUGAAGGAAUUCGUUUCGUAAAGCUCUGUUCUAUGGGAAGAAAAGGACUGUACCAUAGGAGAAAGCCCCGGCUAAAUACGUG
rnacentral:rRNA from 1 species